GGCUGGAUGGGACCCGGGGGAGGCGGCAGCAGCCCCGCGGGCUCAGCCGUGGGCACUGGACUCAGCCCUGCCUUCCUUUGAUGAAGAACGGGGGAUUCUGCCGAGCAGCGGAGCCGCGUGUGUGAACUCGCAGCUGGAUUGCGUUUUUGCUGCCCUGAAAGCAACGUGAUGACUGAAUUCCAGAGUAAGAAAACAGAUUGGGAAACAGGAGAUUGCUCAAUGCACCUGCUGGAUGAAGUUUCACUUCAGCACAGAUGUUCAGAGCUGGGUUUCAUGCAGUAACGAUCUGUUCACAUCAUUUUCCUUUUUGCACCAAAACCACGAACUGAGGAGCUGGAGCCAGCAGCAGCUGGCAGAGCUGGGCUGUGCCAGCACCAGGGCCCCGUGCCACCCACAGCCGGGACCAGAGCGGGGUGAUCGCCAUCCCUGCGCCACAGGAAAACGGAGCUGCCUUGGCUUUGCCACUUCUGAGCGCUGCUGGACACGUUGUUUUCCCUCAGCAGCCAAAUGUGGGGAUAAAUGAAAUGCUGGUGUCACCCCGAGCACGGGGGCAAAGGGAGCGCAGGGGAGUGGGUGCUGGGCCGGCAGGAAUGGGGUGUCCAGGGGUGCUGAGCUGGGAAAUGGUGCUGGCUGGCAAAGGCCAGUGCAUCCUGGGGGGUCACAGGAGACACCCGGAAUCCCCCCGGAAAAAAACUGCCCUGUGGUGUUUCCUUUUAUCAAUUAAAGCUGUGGUGUUGUGAUCAAAAAGUUUGAUUAUCAGUGAUUUGUGGGAAACCGACGGAGGAACUGCAACACGUGGCAACAGGGCUCCCUCUAAUGUCAGCCACUGCCUGGCUGCACCCUGCUCCCUGCUGCCCCUUUCCCUGCACCUCCCUCCCAGUUCUUUAUUCCCUGCUGCCCCUUUCCCUGCACCUCCCUCCCAGUUCUUUAUUCCCUGCUGCCCCAUUCCCUGCACCUCCAGGUUUCUGCUCCCCAUUUUUUGCCACCCCCAGUUCCAUGCUCCCUUUAUUCCCUUCACUCUGAAUUCCCUGUGCCCCCAUUCCCAC